UACGAAGGGGGCUAGCGUUGCUCGGAAUUACUGGGCGUAAAGCGCACGUAGGCGGACUGUUAAGUCGGGGGUGAAAUCCUGGGGCUCAACCUCAGAAUUGCCUCCGAUACUGGCAGUCUCGAGUGCGGGAGAGGUGAGUGGAAUUCCCAGUGUAGAGGUGAAAUUCGUAGAUAUUGGGAAGAACACCAGUGGCGAAGGCGGCUCACUGGCCCGUAACUGACGCUGAGGUGCGAAAGCGUGGGGAGCAAACAGG
rnacentral:rRNA from 1 species